rnacentral:rRNA from 1 species
GACGAACGCUGGCGGCGUGCUUAACACAUGCAAGUCGAACGGAAAGGCCCUGCUUUUGUGGGGUGCUCGAGUGGCGAACGGGUGAGUAACACGUGAGUAACCUGCCCUUGACUUUGGGAUAACUUCAGGUAACUGGGGCUAAUACCGGAUAGGAGCUCCUGCUGCAUGGUGGGGGUGGGAAAGUUUCGGCGGUUGGGGAUGGACUCGCGGCUUAUCAGCUUGUUGGUGGGGUAGUGGCUUACCAAGGCUUUGACGGGUAGCCGGCCUGAGAGGGUGACCGGCCACAUUGGGACUGAGAUACGGCCCAGACUCCUACGGGAGGCAGCAGUGGGGAAUAUUGCACAAUGGUCGGAAGCCUGAUGCAGCAACGCCGCGUGCGGGAUGACGGCCUUCGGGUUGUAAACCGCUUUCGCCUGUGACGCAGCGUGAGUGACGGUAAUGGGUAAAGAAGCACCGGCUAACUACGUG